AUCAAGUAUCUCGACUCACCCCCCUCCCCCCACCCUUAUUCUGAAGGUAACUUUCAGCACCAGGUGAUUUCCUCCCCGCCAAACCUGCAGCCUACUUCGGUCGUGUCCUUAGGAAGGGUUCAGCCUGGCACGGAGUUGGCGGCGCGAGCCAAGAACACAGAAGCCCAAAGACGGGAAGCACGAAAAGGCUCCAGCCCCACCAGCCUAAAUGCUGUUUCUGAAAUGAGAACCCUUCGGCUCGUGGCUUCUCUACCUGAUGCACCAUCUGCCGGAAGCAUCUUCCCCCAGGUCUUCCUGCUACCUCCUCCUUCUUGUCAAGAAGAUGUUAACCUCAAGAUUGUUUUCCCCAGAAGCCUUCCAGGAUCCUGCAGCCUACGCUUCCUCAUCAAUCGUGUUUUUCUUUGUACAGUGUUCAUUCCUAUGCCAACUCUCUAGUUCUCUGUUCAUUACCUGUCUGUCCCUCUAGAAUGUAAGUUCUAUAGUCUUUUUCCUUUUUAUUCGCUGUUAUAUGAUUAGAACAUCCAGUGGUGCAUGAUAUUUAUUAAGGACUCAAGAAAUAUUUAUAAACAUCUGCUUAAUGAAAGUUUAUUAACAAAAAUCCCAUGCUCUUCCUCACAAUUUACUACUUCCCAGGACUGGCUGAGGCUAUUUCUCAUGAGUCACAUUCUAACGGUUGGGAAACCAUUUGGUUUGUGUUGUUCCAUCCAUAUUCCUUAACUUGUAUUUAUUACCCCACGAACAUAAGCAGACAAAAACAAACCAUGCCAACUACAUUGGCCAGUUAGUACAAUGCAAAGAUGAUGCUAUGCUCCCUUUAAAGAACAAUACUGUUGAAAGUGACAGCCUCAUCUUAAUAGCGCUUAAAUUCUAUUGUUUAGAUAAGCAGCCUCUCUGUGCAGUUUAACCCUAGAAUGCCAUUCUUCAAAGGUCUCAUUAAAAAAUGAAAAAGGUAUGGUCU
rnacentral:lncRNA from 1 species